GCAUCUCAUGUCUUCUGCUGGAAGAUCCUGAAACUACUCACCUACUUAAGAGAAUCUCCACAUUGUUGGCAUAAUCUUCACCUCUCUGUGCCUUUCCUCCCAUGAAAGGAAGUUGAGAGAAAGGAUGAGUCAAGUAACAUAAGAAACUACUGAGAAGGUGGGAAGAGGUCCAGAGUCACCCAAGUGGGUUCAGACCCGGAACCAAUUAUCCAGUAAUGGAUUAGCACACGGUUUUCCACUUUGAGACUAUUUCUCAGCCUGCCUCACAGGGAAAAUCUGGAUGCAGACAGACAUGCAGUGAGGGAAGACGAUGUGAAGACACACAGAAGAAGAUGCCCAUGGGCCUGGAAUAAUGCGUCUAUAAGCCAGUGAACACCAAGGGUAGCCAGCAAACACCAGAAGCUAGAAGAAGGCAGGAUUCUUCCCUAGAACCAUCAGAGC
rnacentral:lncRNA from 1 species